AGUGAACGCUGGCGGUAGGCCUAACACAUGCAAGUCGAACGGCAGCACAGUAAGAGCUUGCUCUUACGGGUGGCGAGUGGCGGACGGGUGAGGAAUACAUCGGAAUCUACUUUUUCGUGGGGGAUAACGUAGGGAAACUUACGCUAAUACCGCAUACGACCUACGGGUGAAAGCAGGGGAUCUUCGGACCUUGCGCGAUUGAAUGAGCCGAUGUCGGAUUAGCUAGUUGGCGGGGUAAAGGCCCACCAAGGCGACGAUCCGUAGCUGGUCUGAGAGGAUGAUCAGCCACACUGGAACUGAGACACGGUCCAGACUCCUACGGGAGGCAGCAGUGGGGAAUAUUGGACAAUGGGCGCAAGCCUGAUCCAGCCAUACCGCGUGGGUGAAGAAGGCCUUCGGGUUGUAAAGCCGUUUUGUUGGGAAAGAAAAGCAGCAGGUUAAUACCCCGCUGUUCUGACGGUACCCAAAGAAUAAGCACCGGCUAACUUCGCG
rnacentral:rRNA from 1 species